UUUAGCCUACGGGGCGCAGCAGUAGGGAAUCUUCCACAAUGGGCGAAAGCCUGAUGGAGCAACGCCGCGUGGGUGAAGAAGGUCUUCGGAUCGUAAAACCCUGUUGUUAGAGAAGAAAGUGCGUGAGAGUAACUGUUCACGUUUCGACGGUAUCUAACCAGAAAGCCACGGCUAACUACGUGCCAGCAGCCGCGGUAAUACGUAGGUGGCAAGCGUUAUCCGGAUUUAUUGGGCGUAAAGGGAACGCAGGCGGUCUUUUAAUGAUGAUGUGAAAGCCUUCGGCUUAACCGGGGUAGUGAAUUGGA
rnacentral:rRNA from 1 species